UACGAAGGGGGCUAGCGUUGUUCGGAUUUACUGGGCGUAAAGCGCACGUAGGCGGAUCGAUCAGUCAGGGGUGAAAUCCCCAGAGCUCAACUCUGGAACUGCCUUUGAUACUGUCGAUCUGGAGUAUGGAAGAGGUGAGUGGAAUUCCGAGUGUAGAGGUGAAAUUCGUAGAUAUUCGGAGGAACACCAGUGGCGAAGGCGGCUCACUGGUCCAUUACU
rnacentral:rRNA from 1 species